AAGACUCAGUCUGUUGAGUCUGAUUGUUUCUAAUAAGAAUAAAGAUUUCAUGCAUAACACUCACACAGUGCAUUGAAAAUGCUCAUUGAUCCUUGGAUACACUGAAGUGGCUGAAUUGUGUUUUCUUUAGCGAGUCGGUACGACUUGAAAAGGGAAAAAGAGAAAGAAACCGUCUGCAACUUCCGUGUUUAUUGCAGUGCACUGGUUUUGAAAGAACACGAGUGUGCUCCUGAGCUAUACGAAACUGUUUCACAGUGUAACAGGUCAGUUUGUUAUGGCAGCUAGAGUUAUGCUUUCAUGCGGGUCGCCUAGUACUUUAGCAGCACUUUGACCAUGCAAACCGGUAUUAUAUUUAGGCAAGAUAGCAUUGACCACGUUUUCGAUUUUAAGUAAGUCUUUCAUUGAGUGUAAGUUGCUUUGAAAAUGAGACCUGUUUUGAAAACUCAAGCAUUAAUUUAAAUUUGAAAACUCAAGCACUAAUUUUAGUCGGAGUAGACGGAAUCACCUUACGUUUUUAUUCUUAUGAAAUUAUAAUUUGUAUAUCUAAGCGAGGGACAUUUUUCUUUUCUUCGAGAUUCUUUCGCCUUGAAACCAGAGAAAAUCAAAACAGGACGGAAACAGGAACUUCCUUAUUCCAGAGUGAAACAGAAAGUUAACACAACCACUUAGCGCUGACUCAAUGUAUGAAGAACGCACUUCGCCAAUAUUUCCGGCCGCCUGAAUGCG